AACGAACGCUGGCGGCAGGCUUAACAUAUGCAAGUCGAGCGCCCCGCAAGGGGAGCGGCAGACGGGUGAGUAACGCGUGGGAGUCUACCCAUCUCUACGGAAUAACGCAUGGAAACGUGUGCUAAUACCGUAUACGUCCUUCGGGAGAAAGAUUUAUCGGAGAUGGAUGAGCCCGCGUUGGAUUAGCUAGUUGGUGGGGUAAAGGCCUACCAAGGCGACGAUCCAUAGCUGGUCUGAGAGGAUGAUCAGCCACACUGGGACUGAGACACGGCCCAGACCCCUACGGGAGGCAGCAGUGGGGAAUAUUGGACAAUGGGCGCAAGCCUGAUCCAGCCAUGCCGCGUGAGUGAUGAAGGCCCUAGGGUUGUAAAGCUCUUUCACCGGUGAAGAUAAUGACGGUAACCGGAGAAGAAGCCCCGGCUAACUUCGUGCCAGCAGCCGCGGUAAAAC
rnacentral:rRNA from 1 species